rnacentral:rRNA from 1 species
AUCUCUGUAGAGUCUGCAUAUCAAUAAGCGGAGGAAAAGAAACUAACUAGGAUUCCCUCAGUAACGGCGAGUGAAGCGGAAAGAGCUCAAAUUUGAAAUCUUCAAGGUUUUACCUUGACGAAUUGUAGUUUAAAGAAGUGUUUUCUGUUGGUGUUUUGGUAAAAGUUCUUUGGAAUAGGACAUCAUAGAGGGUGAGAAUCCCGUAUCUGACCAUUACUUCCAGCGUUGUGAUACACUUUCAAAGAGUCGGAUUGUUUGGGAAUGCAGUCCAAAAUGGGUGGUAAAUUUCAUCUAAAGCUAAAUACUGGCGAGAGACCGAUAGCGAACAAGUACCGUGAGGGAAAGAUGAAAAGAACUUUGAAAAGAGAGUUAAACAGUACGUGAAAUUGUCAAAAGGGAAGCGUUUGACACCAGUGUUGUUUUCUCGAAAAUCAAUUAAAAAUGACCUGAUUUUGUGUUGUAUUGACUUUAUCAGCUUUCUGCACUUUUUUCUUGUCUUUUUUAAUGCACUUUUCGUUUAACAAGUCAACAUCAAUUUCUUUUGUUGUAAAAGGGUCAUUGGAAGGUGGCUUUCUUUUCGGAGAAAGUGUUUAUAGCCUUUGGCUUCUGCAAUCGGAGAGAUUGAGGUCUGCAGCGUAGAUCCUUCGGGGUUAGAUACAUUUGUGCUAAGUUAUAGCCUUUCAUAGACAACUUGUUGACUAUGAUCAGUCAUGUAGCUUACUCGCUUAUGCUAUUUUACCUACGCUUAGGAUGUUGAUCUCUCACAGUCGAGC